UACAUGGGGUGCAAACGUUGCUCGGAAUUAUUGGGCGUAAAGCGCGCGUAGGCGGUUACUUAAGUCGGAUGUGAAAGCCCUCGGCUUAACUGAGGAAGUGCAUCCGAAACUGAGUAGCUAGAGUACGAAAGAGGGUCGCGGAAUUCCCGGUGUAGAGGUGAAAUUCGUAGAUAUCGGGAGGAACACCGGUGGCGAAGGCGGCGACCUGGGUCGAGACUGACGCUGAUGCGCGAAAGCGUGGGGAGCAAACGGG
rnacentral:rRNA from 1 species